rnacentral:rRNA from 1 species
GACAGAGGCCUCAAGCGUUAGGCGGAAUCACUGGGCUUAAAGCGUGUGUAGGCGGAUCGUUAAGUGUCUUGUGAAAUCCCACGGCUCACCCGUGGAACGGCUGGGCAUACUGGCGAUCUUGAGCAAUCUAGGGGCAGAUGGAACAAGUGGUGGAGCGGUGAAAUGCGUAGAUAUCACUUGGAACGCCAAAGGUGAAGACAGUCUGCUGGGGAUUUGCUGACGCUGAGACACGAAAGCCAGGGGAGCGAACGGG